UUAGUCAUGUCAUUUGGUCUUACCAAUGCCCCAACCGCUUUCAUGAACUUGAUGAACCGUGUGUUCUAGUACGUGGACAUAUUCGUCAUAGUUUUUAUAGAUGAUAUUUUGGUCUAUUCUCGCACUGAGCACGAUCAUUCGGACCAUCUCAGAACUGUUCUUCAAAAUCUCAGAGAUCAUCAGCUAUUCGCCAAAUUCAUGCAGGUUGUUGCAGUUACUAUUCGUGAUUAACCUGCUUUUCUUGGAUGGUCGGGUGAUCUAGGGCGUCGGAUGAUAUGGGCACCACAUGAUCCGACGAUGUAAAUCAUCGGGACCAUAAAUGGAUGAAGAACUUGUAAGACUUUUCAUACAAGACACCAUGUACAGGCCUAAACUAACAUUAAAGAAAGAAAUAUAAAAGUAUUGUUCCA